CUAUAUAAUUUAACACUCCAAUUUCUCUAAAAUACUACCAAUCUCAUUGUAAUUUGGACUUCAAACUACGACUCUUCCAUAAACUUGGCAAAGUUCCAGGAGUAAGAAAACCUAACAUUGCAAAUUGUCUUCAACAAACAAAAUUCUUCAUAGGUUGUAAGUGAACUUCCACUACUAGCAAUUUAAAGAUCUUUGCUAUGAAGGAACUCUUUCCUGUUGAUUUCAUCAUAGUGAACUUCAUUCUUAAUGAUUAUCGUCUUGAAGUUAUACCAAGUUCAAGUCGUCUUUUGGAUUUGGGUAAUGCAGCUAGAUAAUUCCUUCAUCUUGGAAAAGUAACUAUGCAAAUUAGAGGCCGCAACCGACUGGUAAUUGAACAAGAUGAUGAUGGAGAUAUACGACCUUAUAUUGAGCAAUUGAUGGAUGGUCAAAACUACUCUGCAACCCAACUAUAUAUUGAGCAGUUGAUGGAUAAUCAGAACUAUACUGAAGCCGAAGCACAUGACGGUCAAUCUAAUGAGCCGAAUACUUCUGCCAGUGGCACUGAAAAUCAACAUAAUGAUGAAUCAGGUUAUAUUUUUCUCUGGGUUUAUUUUCAGAUUUUAGUUAUGUGAAACUUUGGUUAUUCUGUUUGUGUAUAUAGUUGUAUGGUCUAGAAGGUGAUCUUCUUACAGAUUUGUUCUGAAGUUACAUGUUUUAGUUAAGAUUUAUCACUUUUGGAUAUUUUUGGUUCAGAUUUAGUAUCCCUUCUUUAAUGGAAAGUAAGGCUUGAAAAUCAGUUCCAUUACUACUUUGUAACUUUAAUUCAUGAGAGGUGAACAUGCAUGGUAGGAAGGUUAGAUGAAAGCAUAAGAAAAAAAUUACAUUGGAAUCUUGUUGUUUAGUCAUUUUAUGUAUUUGUUAUUUUUCUUUUUCAUUCAUGGACUAAGAACAGAGAAAGUGAUCCUUUCUAUAGCAGAAUUAAUAUGAAUUCCUGAUGAGCCUUGAUGCACUUGGAAGUUUAAAUGUAUUUCUGCCAACAGAAAGUCAAUGAAAAUUGUCCACUUUUCCUUUUUUAAGUGCAACGAUUUCUGACCAUUUCUAAAUUCUACUAACCAAUCUCCUCGUAGUGUUGUUUGGAAAGGCGAUGUAUAUUUCUAGGUGUUGAGAAAUAAAAAAUGUGGGUGUGUUCGUGGUUUAGGACUUGGUCCUACUCCAUCUGUUCUAUGGGGUAAUAGAUCUUCCUUAGAAAAUAUUAUUACAGAGGAUUCAUCUAGCGAGACUGUAAAAGGGUUCGAAUAGGAGAUAACCGAGUUAAAGGAGAAACACAAUGAAGAAAUGAAUUUGAUGAAACAAAAUCAGGAGAGGAUGCAAUUAGAAUUAUUCCAAAUGAGACAAUUCAUGCGCAAAUAUGCUCCUAAUGAACCUAUGCGUCAAAAUAUCAAUGGCAACUCAACUGAACAGGUUCCUGACGCCAACAGUGGCCAUGAACGAGUACCACAAAUAUCAAGGAUGCCUAGUGUUGCUGAAAAUACUUUACCUUCUCACGGCCAUACAAUAUGAUAUUUGAUCAUUUAGCGGGUGCAAGAUUUCAAUAUUAUGAAAAGUUGCGGAAAUUAAUUGAAGACUAUCAUUCGUCAGGAUCAGUUACAUAAUAGCAUUAGCUAUUUCAUUCAAACAAUAUAAGUUUAUAUUUUAAGUUAAUGUGACGUUGAUAAUUUUGAUUGGUACUUCCUUUUGUUUGUUAAGAUUCAGUGGGAUAUAUUAUUUUUUUUGGAUUAUUAUUGAUACAUUUUGUUCUUUGGAUCAUAUUUUGGAUGAAUGUAGUAACUAUAUUAAUGGUGGCUA